rnacentral:lncRNA from 1 species
UGCUCCUCUCGUAGAGAGCCCACAUCAGUGGCUCAUAGGUGUCUGUAACUCCAGCCCCACGAAAUCUGACACUCUCUUCACAGUUAUUUGCAUAUGGUGUACUUACUGACAAACAGGAAAACACAUAUAUACAAAAUUUUUAAAUUAUUUUUUAAAUUUUUUAAAAAAGAAAUCAGUCAAUCAGAGGGAAAGCUCAACUGUAAAAUGUUGAGGGCUUUUACACUCCAACAUCCCUGACCUGUAGAUUAUUCUACUGCGUUCUGAAACGUCUUUGUUUCCUCGAGAGCGUAUCCCUUUCUUUCAGUACAGUGAGACCCAGGGCCAUGUGUGUGGCAGGCAGGUGUGUUCACCAUGCACAGAUGCCCAUGGCUUUCUGUCCUCCCUAGAGAGGCCCAGGCAGUCAGGGUGACUUGUCCUCAAGCCUUGUUGCUGUGUCAGGCAAGCCUUGCUGUUUACUCCAUGGUGGCUCUGUAUUGUUAUAAAGUUAUAAAAAAUAUAAUGCUGUCUUUUACCCUCUGCCAGAAAUAUACAUCUCAAUUCUGUUUAGUGUCCCAGCCGCCACACACUCUCUUAAACUUAAUUCGCCACAAGAAAGAACACACACUUUUCGGGCUGGAGAGAUGGCUCAGCGGUUAAGAGCACCCGACUGCUCUUCCAGAGGUCACGAGUUCAAUUCCCAGCAACCACAUGGUGGCUCACAACCAUCUGUAAAGAGUUCUGAUGCCCUCUUCUGGUGUAUCUGAAGACAGCUACAGUGUACUUAUAUAUAAUAAAUAAAUAAAUCUUAAAAAAAAAAAAAAA